rnacentral:tRNA from 1 species
GGGGUUGUGGCUCAGUGGUAGAGCGCUUGCCUUGCAUGUGUGAGGCACUGGGUUCGAUCCUCAGCACCA